UGCCAGCCGCCGCGGUAAUACGGAGGGUGCAAGCGUUAAUCGGAAUUACUGGGCGUAAAGCGCGCGUAGGCGGCUCGUUAAGUCAGAUGUGAAAGCCCCGGGCUUAACCUGGGAAUGGCAUUUGAUACUGGCGAGCUAGAGUGUGACAGAGGAUUGGGGAAUUCCCGGUGUAGCGGUGAAAUGCGUAGAUAUUCGGAAGGAACACCGGUGGCGAAGGCGACUUCCUGGGCCAAUACUGACGCUGAGGCGCGAAAGCGUGGGUAGCAAACAGGAUUAGAUA
rnacentral:rRNA from 1 species